rnacentral:tRNA from 1 species
GGAUUGUGGCUCAGUUGUAGAGUGCUUCCCUCGCAUGCAUGAGGCACUGGGUUCAAUCCACAGCACCA